AGCAGCCGCGGUAAUUCCAGCUCCAAUAGCGUAUAUUAAAGUUGUUGCAGUUAAAAAGCUCGUAGUUGAAUUUCGGGGUUAGUAGGUUGGUCGUGCCACUGGUAUGUACUGGUUCUACUGAUCCCUCCUUCUUGUAGAACCGUAAUGCCAUUCACUUGGUGUUGCGGGGAAACAGGACUGUUACUUUGAAAAAAUUAGAGUGUUUAAAGCAGGCUAACGCUUGAAUACAUUAGCAUGGAAUAAUGAAAUAGGACGUUCGAUCCUAUUUUGUUGGUUUCUAGGAUUGACGUAAUGAUUAAUAGGGAUAGUUGGGGGCAUUAGUAUUCAAUUGUCAGAGGUGAAAUUCUUGGAUUUAUUGAAGACUAACUACUGCGAAAGCAUUUGCCAAGGAUGUUUCCAUUAAUCAAGAACGAAAGUUAGGGGAUCGAAGACGAUCAGAUACCGUCGUAGUCUUAACCAUAAACUAUGCCGACUAGGGAUCGGAUGAUGUUAAUUUUUUAAUGACUCAUUCGGCGCCUUA
rnacentral:rRNA from 1 species